CUUCUCUUUCCUGAGCCUCUUUAGAGCAGCACUUACAGGAUUGCCUCUGUAAAGCCUUAUUCCUGUCCCAGAAAAGGUGAAAUCCCUAAGGGCUCUGCCGUGUACUCCAGCCUUGUGACCCUUGCCUUCCAGGAACCAUGCAAGAAGCGCAGCCACCAGAAGUCCUUAAAACAGCAGGAAAGGUGGGCCUGUCCCCCUUUUGUGCAGCUACCUAUCUGCUGAGGAGCAUCUGGGCCUCAUUCCUCCAAGUCCACUGGAGGGUCCAGAAGAGGGAGUC
rnacentral:sRNA from 1 species